AGCGCAUACGGUGGAUGCCUUGGCAGUCAGAGGCGAUGAAAGACGUGGUAGCCUGCGAAAAGCUUCGGGGAGUCGGCAAACAGACUUUGAUCCGGAGAUCUCUGAAUGGGGGAACCCACCUAGGAUAACCUAGGUAUCUUGUACUGAAUCCAUAGGUGCAAGAGGCGAACCAGGGGAACUGAAACAUCUAAGUACCCUGAGGAAAAGAAAUCAACCGAGAUUCCCUUAGUAGUGGCGAGCGAACGGGGAUUAGCCCUUAAGCUUCAUUGAUUUUAGCGGAACGCUCUGGAAAGUGCGGCCAUAGUGGGUGAUAGCCCCGUACGCGAAAGGAUCUUUGAAGUGAAAUCGAGUAGGACGGAGCACGAGAAACUUUGUCUGAACAUGGGGGGACCAUCCUCCAAGGCUAAAUACUACUGACUGACCGAUAGUGAACCAGUACCGUGAGGGAAAGGCGAAAAGAACCCCGGAGAGGGGAGUGAAAUAGAACCUGAAACCGUAUGCGUACAAGCAGUGGGAGCCUACUUGUUAGGUGACUGCGUACCUUUUGUAUAAUGGGUCAGCGACUUAUAUUCAGUGGCAAGCUUAACCGUAUAGGGUAGGCGUAGCGAAAGCGAGUCUUAAUAGGGCGUUUAGUCGCUGGGUAUAGACCCGAAACCGGGCGAUCUAUCCAUGAGCAGGUUGAAGGUUAGGUAACACUGACUGGAGGACCGAACCCACUCCCGUUGAAAAGGUAGGGGAUGACUUGUGGAUCGGAGUGAAAGGCUAAUCAAGCUCGGAGAUAGCUGGUUCUCCUCGAAAGCUAUUUAGGUAGCGCCUCAUGUAUCACUCUGGGGGGUAGAGCACUGUUUCGGCUAGGGGGUCAUCCCGACUUACCAAACCGAUGCAAACUCCGAAUACCCAGAAGUGCCGAGCAUGGGAGACACACGGCGGGUGCUAACGUCCGUCGUGAAAAGGGAAACAACCCAGACCGCCAGCUAAGGUCCCAAAGUUGUGGUUAAGUGGUAAACGAUGUGGGAAGGCUUAGACAGCUAGGAGGUUGGCUUAGAAGCAGCCAUCCUUUAAAGAAAGCGUAAUAGCUCACUAGUCGAGUCGGCCUGCGCGGAAGAUGUAACGGGGCUCAAACCACACACCGAAGCUGCGGGUGUCACGUAAGUGACGCGGUAGAGGAGCGUUCUGUAAGCCUGUGAAGGUGAGUUGAGAAGCUUGCUGGAGGUAUCAGAAGUGCGAAUGCUGACAUGAGUAACGACAAUGGGUGUGAAAAACACCCACGCCGAAAGACCAAGGGUUCCUGCGCAACGUUAAUCGACGCAGGGUUAGUCGGUUCCUAAGGCGAGGCUGAAAAGCGUAGUCGAUGGGAAACAGGUUAAUAUUCCUGUACUUCUGGUUACUGCGAUGGAGGGACGGAGAAGGCUAGGCCAGCUUGGCGUUGGUUGUCCAAGUUUAAGGUGGUAGGCUGAAAUCUUAGGUAAAUCCGGGGUUUCAAGGCCGAGAGCUGAUGACGAGUCGUCUUUUAGAUGACGAAGUGGUUGAUGCCAUGCUUCCAAGAAAAGCUUCUAAGCUUCAGGUAAUCAGGAACCGUACCCCAAACCGACACAGGUGGUCGGGUAGAGAAUACCAAGGCGCUUGAGAGAACUCGGGUGAAGGAACUAGGCAAAAUGGCACCGUAACUUCGGGAGAAGGUGCGCCGGCUAGGGUGAAGGAUUUACUCCGUAAGCUCAGGCUGGUCGAAGAUACCAGGCCGCUGCGACUGUUUAUUAAAAACACAGCACUCUGCAAACACGAAAGUGGACGUAUAGGGUGUGACGCCUGCCCGGUGCCGGAAGGUUAAUUGAUGGGGUUAGCGCAAGCGAAGCUCUUGAUCGAAGCCCCGGUAAACGGCGGCCGUAACUAUAACGGUCCUAAGGUAGCGAAAUUCCUUGUCGGGUAAGUUCCGACCUGCACGAAUGGCGUAACGAUGGCGGCGCUGUCUCCACCCGAGACUCAGUGAAAUUGAAAUCGCUGUGAAGAUGCAGUGUAUCCGCGGCUAGACGGAAAGACCCCGUGAACCUUUACUGUAGCUUUGCACUGGACUUUGAGCCUGCUUGUGUAGGAUAGGUGGGAGGCUUUGAAGCGUGGACGCCAGUUCGCGUGGAGCCAUCCUUGAAAUACCACCCUGGCAUGCUUGAGGUUCUAACUCUGGUCCGUGAUCCGGAUCGAGGACAGUGUAUGGUGGGCAGUUUGACUGGGGCGGUCUCCUCCUAAAGAGUAACGGAGGAGUACGAAGGUGCGCUCAGACCGGUCGGAAAUCGGUCGCAGAGUAUAAAGGCAAAAGCGCGCUUGACUGCGAGACAGACACGUCGAGCAGGUACGAAAGUAGGUCUUAGUGAUCCGGUGGUUCUGUAUGGAAGGGCCAUCGCUCAACGGAUAAAAGGUACUCCGGGGAUAACAGGCUGAUACCGCCCAAGAGUUCAUAUCGACGGCGGUGUUUGGCACCUCGAUGUCGGCUCAUCACAUCCUGGGGCUGA
rnacentral:rRNA from 1 species